CUGGACCUACAAUUUAAUUUUGUCCAUGGGCUGCUUACUGCCAAGGUUUCUCUCAAAGCAAAGUUUUCCAGUUUCUAACGUGCUAUUGCUGUCCGAGAAGGUUGGACUUGAAGUUGAAGGCCUGGGCCGUGAAUUCCUAAGUUGGAUGCCCCAUGAAGAAAUGAAUGACCAGCUUUUUGUUGGGCUCGCAGCUGCUAGCUUGUUCCUCUUUUCUCCAAGAAAAAAUUCCAUAAAGAAACAUUUGUUAUUGUAGGCUGCUGCACCUCCUAAUAAAACUUCUUAUGCUGCCAGGAGGGGUCCUCUUUUCUUUUCCUUCCAGCGCAUCCUUUUCCAAGAGUUAAAAUAAAAACCCUGGAGCUCACAAGUGGACAUGUGUUGCACAUGUGAACUACUUCACGUCAAGCCUAAGUGAAUCAAGCACGAGACCUGCAGCCCCUUAUCUUCAAUUGCAGCGUGCUUUCCCUUUUCAUCAGACCGUGUUGGUGGUGUUUGCUGAAGCCGGGCCGAGAGUGAUGUUGUCCGCGUGGAGUGGAAAGAAGGCUGGUCAUUGAAUUUGCUUCCACCGUGUGAAGACUGGACUGCUACAGGGCCGUAUGGAUAAUGAAUUCCAGCUAAACUGCAUGACCCCUUGCCUUUAAAAUGAAGAAUUUUAAUCCUUCAAAUUCACGUGCUGUUGCAAGUGGGUGGCAGCUAUAGCUUUUCCGUGUGCACCCCCAAA
rnacentral:lncRNA from 1 species